GGGAAGGGACAGGGAUAGGGAUCACAGAAUCACAGCACCCUGCUUUGCAGGUGAUGGAUUUGGGAAGAGUUCACCUUUAUUUCUAGAAAUCCCCAAAAGAUGGCAACCAGAAAACGAACAUUUCAGACCUUAGGUCUCAAGGAAUCUUUUGUUCAUUAAAAAAAAAUCCUUCUUCAGGUAAAUCCCAAGCUAAUGGUGUUCUCUCUUCUGCCCUUUCAAAGGACAGGGACAUUCACUUCUCAGUGUUCAGCUGCUCUCUGUGAAGGGGUAAAUCACAGCUCAGUGACUGAAUUACCUGUCACUGGAAUGAUUUCUCUACCAGCACAAAACAGAGGAGCCAACUGUGUUAGUGGCUCACAGAAGCACUGGAUAAUCCACAACUCAACAAGGUUUAACAACACUGAGAAACCAAAACAUCAUCACCUGCCUGCUGCCAUUUCUGGUUUAGUGAAGGAAUUACAAAAUCCCAGCCACUGGGGUUCUCCACCUGAUGUUCCUGCCACUCAUCACUGCUAAAUGGGAAUGCUUGUGUGAUCAUCAAACAGGAUAAACAGCAAGAAUGAAACUCGGGCGAAAUAUUAACACCCCACCCUUUGGUCUCUUCAGCUGGUACUUAACGAGCUCCUGAGUUGCUCAGAGGCCCAGGUGGUGCCCACACAAAGGCUGAGGCUGCAGAGAGUCUGCUCUUGCUCUCUGAGCUUUGCUUUUACUCUUGACAACUGAAAAUAUAACGACUUGUCUAAUUGUCAGAUGACUACCUUGGAACAGGCACGAGAAGACUGGAUCUGUGACUCACAAAAAGCUUUCUGUGUCCCCCUAAAGCACAGAAGAGAGGAGAUAACCCACUUUCAUGUUGCAGUCAAACCACAAGCUAAUCCAAUUAAAGAGAGGACACAGGAAUGCAGGAAGACACCACUGGUCCAUCAGGGCUAAUAUCUCGUUUCUUGCAGAGUUCAGGCCUUAACACUUCAGCAAAAAAUAAAUAUGAGGCACAAAAUCCCUUGCUAAUAGUG
rnacentral:lncRNA from 1 species